rnacentral:lncRNA from 1 species
UAAUACCAUUUAAGUCCUGCUCCCCUUUAUAUCACUCAUGCCAUUUAAUAUUUUUAGAUUUAUUCAACUCCAAAAGAUAGCGCUCAGGAAGAAUUCUCCAGUUUGUAUUCUGAGAAGACAUGAAGUGAGAUAUGAGAAAGGAAGAAGAACCAAGCAUUGCAGCAUAAACCUGAAAUCCUAGCACUCGGGAGGUUGGAGCCACAGGACUUUCUAUCAGUUCAAGGACACUCUGGGAUACAUAGCAAAGCUCAUAUGGUAGACAGUGGCCAGAAUCCGCGCAUAGGAUGAGAUAACCACAGAGAAAGGAAUCAACAGCAUCAGAACGCAGCACACAUACAUCACCGUCUCAUAGAGGGCUGUGUCUGCACAUGCCAACUUCAGCACAGCAGGUGCCUCACAGAAGAAGUGGUUAAUCUCUCGUGAUCUACAGAAAGGAAAACUCAUGGUGAUUGGAGUGAGGAGGAAGCCAUCCAAAGAUCCCCCAAACCAGGAGCCUGCUAUGAUAAUCCAACAGAUCCGGCGGCUCAUGAGGACAGGGUACCUCAGUGGGUUGCAGAUGGCCACAUAACGAUCAUAAGCCAUGAGGCCCAGAAGAAAGAACUCGGCUCCCACCAGGGUGAGGUAUAGAAAGUGUUGAGCUGUGCAUCCCACAAAGGAAAUAGUCCUUUGCCCUAGAAGAUAAUCAACUAGCAUCUUGGGCACAAUGGUUGAGAUGUACAUCAUGUCAAUGAAGGACAAGUGACUGAGGAGAAAGUACAUAGGGGUGUGGAGGUGAGCGUCUGUGUGGAUCAGAAAGAUCAUAAUUCCAUUGGCCACCAGUGCAGUGAGGAAGAUGACGGAGAUUGUGGCAAAUACAAGACCUGAGGUUUCCUCUGUGUUGAACAGCCCCAUGAAAGUGAAGUCCGUGGAUGAUGUGUUGUCCCCUUCCAUUUAUCUUAUAAUGUUGCUGAUAUAACACGAAGCCUUCUAAGUAAAAUGGUGGCACUUCCAGAAAAU